rnacentral:rRNA from 1 species
CCUACGGGAGGCAGCAGUGAGGAAUAUUGGUCAAUGGGCGCGAGCCUGAACCAGCCAAGUAGCGUGAAGGAUGACUGCCCUACGGGUUGUAAACUUCUUUUUUAAAGGAGAAAAGUUAGGCACGUGUGCCUUUUUGUAUGUAUUUUAUGAAUAAGGAUCGGCUAACUCCGGGCCAGUAGCCGCGGUAAUACGGAGGGUUCGAGCGUUAUCCGGAUUUAUUGGGUUUAAAGGGAGCGUAGAUGGGUUGUUAAGUCAGUUGUGAAAGUUUGCGGCUCAACCGUAAAAUUGCAAUUGAUACUGGCAGCCUUGAGUACAGUUGAGGUGGGCGGAAUUCGUGGUGUAGCGGUGAAAUGCUUAGAUAUCACGAAGAACUCCGAUUGCGAAGGCAGCCUACUAGACUGCCACUGACAUUGAUGCUCGAAAGUGUGGGUAUCAAACAGGAUUAGAUACCCGAGUAGUC